rnacentral:rRNA from 1 species
UACGGGGGGAGCAAGCGUUGUUCGGAUUUACUGGGCGUAAAGGGCGCGUAGGCGGCCACGACAAGUCACUUGUGAAAUCUCCGGGCUUAACUCGGAACGGUCAAGUGAUACUGUCGGGCUAGAGUGCAGAAGGGGCAACUGGAAUUCUCGGUGUAGCGGUGAAAUGCGUAGAUAUCAGGAGGAACACCCAUGGCGAAGGCAGUUCACUGGCAGUCUCCUGACGCUGAGGCGCGAAAGCGUGGGUAGCAAACAGG